GGGCGUGUGGCUCAAUGGCAGAGCGCGUUCCUGAUAAGAACGAGGUUGAAGGUUCGAUUCCUUCCACGCCCA
rnacentral:tRNA from 1 species